UGAGAUCCAGAAACCCACCGACCGAUUAACAAAAAAACACCAACCCCCCCUGCUGCCCCGAUCCCCACCUCCUCCUUCGAUCCACUCCCCCGAAUGCCAGAUCUCGCUGCCACAGCACGCCUCUGGCUCGUCGGCUCCUCCCUGAUCCAGCGGCGUCGAGCUCUUCCCCUCCUGCCACAAGCGCCGCCUGCUCCCUGGCUACGCCGCCGCCCCCUGACCCCGACGCGCCUCCCGCCACCGGCCACCUUGGCCGUGUCGUCGCCCCCCUGAUGCACCUCUCGCUGCCGAUGCUGUCGCCCCUCCCGCCGUCGUCCACUCCGAACCCGUCGCCAUGCCUCGACCCGCAGUACACAAACAACGCCGGCGGCCACCACCUCCAGUGGUUGCACUUUGGCGGCCGCCGGUGGCCUUUCACCAGCGCUGGAGCCACCCCCCGCCCCGGCCCCGUCCCCACGCUUGGAUCCGCAUCGGCGCCGCCCGGUGCCUGGAAACGGCACCAGCUCCACCCGCGCACCUGGAUUCGGUAGCCGCACCACCCCCGUGACUGGAUUCGGCCGCCACGCCGUUCUCGAGCCAGUUCAACAUCCUUCUCCGCAUGAGGAUUUGAACUUCUUUUAAUUUGCAUGAAAAUUGCCUGCAAAAAUUGUGUCUGUAAAUUUCGCUCCUGAAUACAAUUGCAUUCUGAAGAGAAUUUUUUUCCCUGUAGGUGAGGAGAGAAACUCAGUUGUUCUCUCGGCUUCUCUUGACAUUCUUGGCUCAUCCGGAUUGCUGCUCCUUUUGCUCUGUGUGACCUGCCCGUCUUCCGGCUAUGAACGGCCCACUUCUGCUACCUAGCAUGCUGCUGUUGCUUCGCUGCUGCUGCUCUCUAUCCAUGUGCUACUCUCUCUCUGCUUCUCUAUGUGUGCGUGACUGUUACAGUUGCAGCAGCGCCUAAUUAUUGUGGAUCUUGUGGUCAAAUGACCUUUGUCAAGUGUGAUGAUUCUUUGUAUGUCUCUGCAAAAGUAUAAAAUAUACUAUAUAUAUUUCUUCUUGGAA